UAUAUAUAAUUGCAAAUUUAUAAUUUAAUAUUGCUAGCCAAAUACCUAAUGUCAUAAUGUCUAAGAUGUAUAUUAUAUAUAUUGAUGUAUAUAAUAAUGUUAAAAAUUAAAGAUAAAUUGCCAUCAGUAUUAAAUAAUUAAAUAAAAAUGGAGGAGAGAGCAAUGCUAUGGAUGCUUUCUCUUGUUAUGUUUGUUGGAUCUUGUCUUGGAGCUGGAUCACUGCCAUUAAGUUAAAUAAAUUUAUCAGAAGAAGACAAGUUACAAUUAGUUUCAAUAUUAGGAGCAGGACUCCUUGUUGGUACUGCGCUAGCGAUUAUACCUGACUAUACCUGAGGGUGUAAGAGCAUUAUUUACUGUGGAUGGUAUUACUAAACUGGAAAAGGCAAUUUACAUACUUUAAUUGGAAUUAGUUUAGUACUUGGUUUAUGCUUUUAAUUGAUCAAUGUUCAGCCAGAAAAAGUGGAGGAAGACAAGAAAAGUAUUACAGCAACUUUAGGUCUUAUAGUAUAUGCUGCUGGUUGAUUGGCGGUGUUGCAUUGGGAGCUGCUGCUACUACAUCUCAAGCUGAUGCUCGAAGUGUCUUAGUUUUUCUUCGCAAUAAUGUUACACAAAGCGCCAGAUGCAUUUGGACUUGUGUCAUUUCUUCUUCAUGAAGGUGUAGAUAGAGAGUAGUAAGAAAAUACUUAUAUAAGCAGACACUUAUUAAUUUUCUCUCUUGCGGCACCGUGUCUUGCACUUGUGACAUAUUUUGGAAUUGGAAAAAAACAUUUAUUAUCUGAAAGGAAAAAAUGUUCCUGCUGAUGCACAAAAGCGUAACCAUAUACUGAUAUAUCUAAACAUUUAUGAUACUUGCUCUACAGAAUGACAUAAUUUAGAGCAAAUACUUAAAUAAAAUGUUAUGCUUGCAGAUAUCCAAACUGUCGGGACGCAAUCUCUGCAAUAUACAAUUGUUGUAAAUAUAUGUAUGCAAAGCAUAUAAUGGUGCAAGUUGGAAAAAAAUGCUUUACGAUUUAGAACAGGUGCAUUAGAAGCAAUUGUACUAAUUAUUUAACGAACACCGAUUGUAAUGAAAUAACAUACAGUGCACAAGAUAGAUUAAUCAAUAUAUAUUAUAGAGAAACAAUAGAAAAUGCGGGACAUUCAGAACUGCCGCGCAAGACUGCACGCGCCAAUCAGGCGCGAGAACGGACGCGGACGCGCGAAGACUCCCAAUCAGGAGCGAGGACUGCCGUGCGUGCGCGAAGACGUCCAAUCAGGCGCGAGAACUGCCGCGCGCGCCGCCAAGACUCCCAAUCAGGCGCGAAGACGUCCAAUCAGGCGCGAGAACUGCCGCUCAUGCGUGAAAGCUCCCAAACAGGCGCGAGGACUGCCGAACAUGCGCGAAAUUGCAAAUUUAAAGGACAAGUUACAAUUAGUUUCAAUAUUAGGAGCAGGACUCCUUGUUGGUACUGCGCUAGCGAUUAUACCUGACUAUACCUGAGGGUGUAAGAGCAUUAUUUACUGUGGAUGGUAUUACUAAACUGGAAAAGGCAAUUUACAUACUUUAAUUGGAAUUAGUUUAGUACUUGGUUUAUGCUUUUAAUUGAUCAAUGUUCAGCCAGAAAAAGUGGAGGAAGACAAGAAAAGUAUUACAGCAACUUUAGGUCUUAUAGUAUAUGCUGCUGGUUGAUUGGCGGUGUUGCAUUGGGAGCUGCUGCUACUACAUCUCAAGCUGAUGCUCGAAGUGUCUUAGUUUUUCUUCGCAAUAAUGUUACACAAAGCGCCAGAUGCAUUUGGACUUGUGUCAUUUCUUCUUCAUGAAGGUGUAGAUAGAGAGUAGUAAGAAAAUACUUAUAUAAGCAGACACUUAUUAAUUUUCUCUCUUGCGGCACCGUGUCUUGCACUUGUGACAUAUUUUGGAAUUGGAAAAG